UACAGAGGAUGCAAACGUUGCUCGGAAUUACUGGGCGUAAAGCGCGCGCAGGUGGUCUCGUAAGUCGGGCGUGAAAUCCCGGGGCUCAACCUCGGAAUUGCCUUUGAUACUGGGUGUCUUGAGUAUGAGAGAGGCGAGUGGAAUUCCGAGUGUAGAGGUGAAAUUCGUAGAUAUUCGGAAGAACACCAGUGGCGAAGGCGACUCGCUGGACAAGUAUUGACGCUGAGGCGCGAAAGCGUGGGGAUCAAACAGG
rnacentral:misc_RNA from 1 species